rnacentral:misc_RNA from 1 species
AAGUCGUAACAAGGUUUCCUUUGGUGAACCUGCGGAAGGGUCAUUCAUAAUAAAAGUGUUUUAUGGCGCUUUUCAGACUAAUCUAUAUCCACCUUGUGCGCAAGGUUUUUUUUUUUAAAAAAAAAUAAACACUUUAUUUUUUAAUUGCCAAUUUAUCUCAAAAUAUAACUUUCAACAACGGAUCUCUUGGCUUUC